AGUGAGGAAGUUUGCAGAAGCUCUUGCAGACAGAAAGCAGCAAACGCCAAAGAUGAAGAGAAGGCUGUAUGGAUAGAAAAAGAGAGGGUGGGGAGAAAGGAGAGCGACGAGUUUAGGUUUCCUUUCUCUUCAGUCUUUCUGUCGUUUUUUUUGCGCGCGUUGUCUCUCUUCUCUUCUUCUCUCCCCAGUUUUUCUCAACCUGUUCAUCUCCAGAAUGGAUGGAAGGCUAGUCCUUACCAUCCUGGUCCUGUGUGUCAAGAAUGUUGUAACCUUUGAAAAUACGACAUCCACCUCCCAACCUCUCACACCAUCCAACUCCACUCCUGCUACCCCCGGUCCCACCACUUCCUGUGUGUGUAAUAUCUCCACUUCCUGUUCCCCUCCGACCAAGCCCAAGUCUCCGCCACCUGCGCUGGGUGUUGUCAAGAUCAACUGGCAAGCAAAGUCCUGUAAGGGGGACAUACACCUGUGUCUCCUCUUGGGUGGAGACACCUGUCUCUCCACCCAUUCCUUACCACUCUGCUUUAACAGUUGGGCCAAUCUUAGCCUUGAACUGGCAGAAUCGUGUGAGAGGAAGGGCUGCGGGGGCUCCGCUAAGUGGACUGAGACCCCUGCUAGCUCUGAGGGUUACCAGAUCGAUAGGGAUGGAAGGGUUACCAAUAACUCCUGUACAACACUGAUAAUCCAAUGCGAAGUCGUCCCAGAUCAGUUAGUGGGCUAUAAGGUGGUGACUGGACUGCUGUGUGUUCUGGUGCUGGUGGUGCUGAUGGUGCGUUUCGGGCAGCCCUCCCUCAAGGCCCUCCGUAAGAGAUUGUCAGACAAGAGACAGAGUCGGUGGAUCGGACCUACGCAGAGCCAAAGUGGUGAGUCAAUGACUCCUAGACACACGCACACCCACCAGGCCAAGUUGCAGGCCUAAGUAGGAGAGACGUGGAAUCGGUGAAUAAUGCGUUGAGUUGAUGAGUUCAUGGUUACACGCACACAGAUGUCGGUUGUUCUCUCUCAAAUAAUACAGCAUCUUGGCAAGCGUUGUAAUCCAUAACCACCUUUUCCCCCUCCUACGUCUGUCUGUCUCUGUCUCUCUCUCUCGCAGUCUCCUACCAUAGAGGGAAGGCUGGACUCCAACUUAACGACAACACAGACAAGAGACACUCCUACCCUGGAUUGGAGAGGCUGACGGUGAACACUAGCCGAGAGCCGUCGUCUAACAGAAACAGUGAUUAUGACUCUUAUAACUUGUGAUCAUCAUCUUCAUCAUCAUCAGUCAUAUUCUCCAUCCUCUAUGACAAAAUACUGUACAUGUAUUUUUUAUAUUUUAUUAUAUAUUUUUAUGCACAUAAUAUCAUUUUUUGUUAUUGUUUCUGUGUGUAAUUCAAUCAUUCACUUCUUUUAUUGAAUAAAAAGUAAAGUUUGUUGUUGAAUAAAA
ensembl:lncRNA